GCGGGUCCCUAUGCUCUAUGCGGGAAGAAUAACCACGGUAACCUGUGGCUAAGAGUGUAGAAUAAGGUGCAAUCCUAUUAGUUUGUUGGUAGUGUAAAGGACUACCAAGGCAGUGAUGGGUAACGGGAAAUCAGGGUUUGAUUCCGGAGAGGGAGCCUGAGAGAUGGCUCCCACGUCCAAGGAUGGCAGCAGGCGCGAAAAUUGUCCACUCUUUUGAGAGGAGACAGUUAUGAAACGUGAGUAGAAGGGUCGAGUGUAAAAACCUUGACGUGAAGCAAUUGGAGGGCAAGUUUUGGUGCCAGCAGCCGCGGUAAUUCCAACUCCAAGAGUGUCUAUGGUGGAUGCUGCAGUUAAAGGGUCCGUAGUCGUAGAUGCAAUUAAAAGGUGGUGUUAAAAGCCAUUGAGUUUGUUGAGAGUAGCGGAACGGAUAGGGAGCAUGGUAUAGGUGGGCAAAGAAUGAAAUCUCAAGACCCCACCUGGACCAACGGAGGCGAAAGCGAUGCUCUUAGACGUAUCUGGGGAUCAAGGACGAAGGCUAGAGUAUCGAAAGUGAUUAGACACCGCUGUAGUUCUAGCAGUAAACUAUGCCGACAAUGCUGGGUGUUGCGAGAGCGAUGCUUGGUGUGGGAGAAAUCUUAGUUUUCGGGCUCUGGGGAUAGUACGCUCGCAAGGGUGAAACUUAAAGCGAAAUUGACGGAAGGACACUACCAGGAGUGGAUUGUGCUGCUUAAUUUAACUCAACGCGGGAAAACUUACCAGGGUCAAGUCUAUCGUAGAUUGGAGACAUGAGGUAGACAAGAGUGGUGCAUGGCCGUUGGAAAUUGAUGGGGCGACUUUUAGCUUAAGUGCUGGAACCAGUGAGAUCUUCUAGACAGGUGUUAUUUAGGCACAGGAGGGAGAAGGCAAUAACAGGUCCGUGAUGCCCUUAGAUAUCCUGGGCAGCAAGCGCAAUACAAUAUCUCUUGAGAAGACAAAGCAAUUUGAGAUGAGUAGGAUUAGCUUUUGUAAAUAAGCU
rnacentral:rRNA from 1 species